rnacentral:rRNA from 1 species
AAUGAACGCUGGUGGUAUGUUUUAAGCAUGCAAGUCGAACGAAGAUAAUUACGCUUGUAUGAGUGUGAUUAGACUGAGUGGCGAACGGGUGAGUAACGCGUAAAUAAUCUGCCUUAAAGACUGGGAUAGCCUAGUGAAAAUUGGAUUAAUACCGGAUGUAUUCAUAAAAAUAUAGGUUUUUAUGAAAAAAGGAGCAAUCCGCUUUAAGAUGAGUUUGCGUUCUAUUAGCUUGUUGGUGGAGUAAAAGCCUACCAAGGCUACGAUAGAUAGCCGGCCUGAGAGGGUGUACGGCCACAUUGGGACUGAGAUACGGCCCAGACUUCUACGGAAGGCAGCAGCUAAGAAUAUUCCGCAAUGGGCGAAAGCCUGUCGGAGCAAUACCACGUGAAUGAUUAAGGCCUGAAAGGGUUGUAAAGUUCUUUUAAUGAGGAAGAAUAAAGUGACGGUACUCAAUGAAUAAGUUCCGGCUAAUUACGUGCCAGCAGCCGCGGUAAUACGUAAGGAGCAAGCGUUAUUCAGAUUUACUGGGCGUAAAGGGUGUGUAGGUGGAUUAAGUAGUUAGGUAUGAAAGUUUUAGGCUUAACCUAGAAAUGUUAUCUAAAACCAUUAAUCUUGAGUUUAGGAGAGGAAGACGGAAUUUCUAGUGUAAGGGUGGAAUCUACAGAUAUUAGAAAGAACAUCGAUGGCGAAGGCAGUCUUCUGGACUAACACUGACACUGAAACACGAAAGCUAGGGGAGCAAACAGGAUUAGAUACCCUGGUAGUCCUAGCCGUAAACGUUGUAUACUAGGCGCUUGGUAUACAUAUUAAGUGCCUAAGCUAACGCGAUAAGUAUACCGCCUGGGGAGUAUGCUCGCAAGAGUAAAACUCAAAGGAAUUGACGGGGACCCGCACAAGCGGUGGAGCAUGUGGUUUAAUUCGAUGAUACGCGAAAAACCUUACUAGGGCUUGACAUGUACAGGAACUUUAUAGAAAUAUAAGGGGCUUCGUAAGAAGACCUGUAUACAGGUGCUGCAUGGCUGUCGACAGCUCGUGUUGUGAAAUGUUGGGUUAAGUCCCGCAACGAGCGCAACCCUUGUCUUCUGUUGCUAACAGGUUAUGCUGAGUACUCUGAAGAAACUGCCAGUGAUAAACUGGAGGAAGGUGGGGAUGACGUCAAGUCAUCAUGGCCCUUAUGUCCUAGGCUACACACGUGCUACAAUGGACGGUACAAAGAGAUGCAAAUCGGUGACGUGGAGCAAAUCUCACAAAACCGUUCUCAGUUUGGAUUGAAGUCUGAAACUCGACUUCAUGAAAUUGGAAUCGCUAGUAAUCAUGAAUCAGCAUGUCAUGGUGAAUACGUUCUCGGGUCUUGUACACACCGCCCGCCACACCCCUCAAGAUGAGUUUUGCUAAAGGUACUAUACUAACCGAAAGGAAGGAAGUAACUAGGUGUAGCUUGAUGAGAGGGGUG